rnacentral:tRNA from 1 species
GUGGCUAUGGUGUAGCGGUAGCACAUGAGCUUGUGGAGCUCCUAGUCUGGGUUCAACUCCCAGUAGCCACC